rnacentral:rRNA from 1 species
AGAACGAACGCUGGCGGCAGGCUUAACACAUGCAAGUCGAACGCGUGUAGCAAUACACGAGUGGCGCACGGGUGAGUAACGCGUGGAUAUCUGCCUUUUGGUUCGGAAUAACCCCGGGAAACUGGGGCUAAUACCGGAUGGUUCCUACGGGAUAAAGAUUUAUCGCCAAAAGAUGAGUCCGCGUCCGAUUAGCUAGUUGGUGGGGUAAUGGCCUACCAAGGCGACGAUCGGUAGCUGGUCUGAGAGGACGAUCAGCCACACUGGGACUGAGACACGGCCCAGACUCCUACGGGAGGCAGCAGUGGGGAAUAUUGGACAAUGGGGGCAACCCUGAUCCAGCCAUGCCGCGUGAGUGAUGAAGGCCUUCGGGUUGUAAAGCUCUUUUGGCGGGACGAUGAUGACGGUACCGCAGAUAAGCCCGGCUAACUCGUGCCAGCAGCCGC